UACGGAGGGGCUAGCGUUGUUCGGAAUUACUGGGCGUAAAGCGCGCGUAGGCGGACCUGCAAGUCGGGGUGAAAGCCCGAGGCUCAACCUCGAAACUGCCUUCGAUACUGCGGGUCUCGAGUCCGGGAGAGGUGAGUGGAAUUCCUAGUGUAGAGGUGAAAUUCGUAGAUAUUAGGAAGAACACCAGUGGCGAAGGCGGCUCACUGGCCCGGUACUGACGCUGAGGCGCGAAAGCGUGGGAGCAAACAGGG
rnacentral:rRNA from 1 species